AGGCAAAGGAGGGCCAUGGACGCCGGCCACUGGCUGCCUUCGUGAUGCUCCGCAGAUCCACGCAAGCCCCGCGCCACGCAGGCCGUGGGUCACACCGGUAUACCGGGUCACACCCGCGCCUGGCUUAAGAAUCAGUAGCUCCCCAGUUGGCACAACAAAAAACGAAUAUGGAGCCCCUACAAUGAAUGAUGAAACAUCGCAGAAGCUGAGCUUUCUGUCUGUCCAUUCUCCUGGAAAAAUAAUGCCAGUCAAUUACUUUUAAUGCGCUGCUUCUACAGGGGUGGGCUGGGAAGACAUCAAUCUGCUCCCGACUCUAGGGAACAUUUCCACACAACCACGUGCGUUCUGAUGGCUCUGUGCUCACCGAUGCAGAGGCCUCAAGCAGAACUUCGGGCCCUCAACCUGGUCUCCUGCCCGCUUGCUGCUGCCACCUGGGAUACCACCACCAUUCUCAUCUCCAUACGGGAUGGAAACUGGGGCUUCCCUGGACUCUGCGCUUCUCUGGCACCCGACUCCCCAAGUGUCCACCCUACCCCCCAUGUCUUCAUCCAGUCAGCGAUCACGCAGCGCUCCCAGAGUCCUCCCACUCUCUCCACCACCGCUCUGCUCAGCUGCUUCUCACCUUAUCCUCAGGUUUGCUAGCGCUCUCUAGGCCGUCUGCCUGAGUUCAGCUGGCCCCUCCAGACCACUCUACCUGUGGAGUCUAACAGGGUCCUCCUGUUUCAAUCAGUUUGCUCUCUGGCUUGAAAUCUCUGUAUCUGUCAAACCUCUCAAGUUGAUAUUCAAGGUUCAUAACCAGAGCCAAUACUUCUCUGCUGCCUAACUCAAUUCUUUGCAGGCAGACUGGCCUACCAAAUCCUGCUACCAUGCCUUUGUCUGGACUGGGUUCCCUGUGCUUCCUCUACUUGACAGUUGGCAGCCACUGCGAGCACCAGAUAAGGUCUGCUCUGAUCCCUACAGCUUUCCCUAACCUUCAAAGCUCGUGAUUCCAGGUAAUGGAGAAGAACAGCCCCUCAGGUCUGCAUCCUCUCCCAUCCCUCACCUACAGACAGCUCCUUUAAGGCUCUCCCUCUUCCCUCUCUAUCACUUCAUGUUUUGUUAAAAA